GGAAACGUACUCAAGUUGGCUGAAGAGGCGCCCUGCUAAGGGUGUAGGUCGCGAGAGCGGCGCGAGGGUUCGAAUCCCUCCGUUUCCG
rnacentral:tRNA from 1 species